rnacentral:lncRNA from 1 species
GGAUAGCAGCAAGAUCUGGAGCUUGGCUCUUUCUCUGGGAAUGAUAACUGUUGACAGUGUGUUCAAGAACUUUUGACAAUGUUUUACUGUUGAAGAGGAGCGUUGGAGCAAUGGUAAAGUUGUCUCUGUGUGACCUAUAGGGCACGAGUUUGAGCCGUGGAAGAAGUCACUAAUGCUUGCGUUAGGGUAGGCUGCCUACAUCACACCCCUAGGAUGCGGCCCUUCCCCAAAUCCUGUGUGAAUGCGGGAUACUUUGUGCACCAAGCUAUACAAUGGAUGUACUUUGACAGUGUGUUCAAGAACUUUUGACAAUGUUUUACUGUUGAAGAGGAGCGUUGGAGCAAUGGUAAAGUUGUCUCUGUGUGACCUAUAGGGCACGAGUUUGAGCCGUGGAAGAAGUCACUAAUGCUUGCGUUAGGGUAGGCUGCCUACAUCACACCCCUAGGAUGCGGCCCUUCCCCAAAUCCUGUGUGAAUGCGGGAUACUUUGUGCACCAAGCUAUACAAUGGAUGUACUUUGACAUGAAAGACUGUAUUCCAUUCUUUUACAACUCUAUUCUAAGUACAAAAAUCAGGAAUGAAAUAAGAAAUCUCUGUCUGGA